GACGAACGCUGGCGGCGUGCUUAACACAUGCAAGUCGAACGGAAAGGCCCUGCUUUUGUGGGGUGCUCGAGUGGCGAACGGGUGAGUAACACGUGAGUAACCUGCUCUUGACUUUGGGAUAACUUCAGGAAACUGGGGCUAAUACCGGAUAGGAGCUCCUGCUGCAUGGUGGGGGUUGGAAAGUUUCGGCGGUUGGGGAUGGACUCGCGGCUUAUCAGCUUGUUGGUGGGGUAGUGGCUUACCAAGGCUUUGACGGGUAGCCGGCCUGAGAGGGUGACCGGCCAAAUUGGGACUGAGAUACGGACCAGACUCCUACGGGAGGCAGCAGUGGGGAAUAUUGCACAAUGGGCGGAAGCCUGAUGCAGCAACGCCGCGUGCGGGAUGACGGCCUUCGGGUUGUAAACCGCUUUCGCCUGUGACGAAGCGUGAGUGACGGUAAUGGGUAAAGAAGCACCGGCUAACUACGUG
rnacentral:rRNA from 1 species